UACAGAGGUCCCAAGCGUUGUUCGGAUUCACUGGGCGUAAAGGGUGCGUAGGUGGCCAGGUAAGUUUGAUGUGAAAGCUCGGAGCUUAACUCCGAAAUGGCAUUGAAUACUAUCUGGCUUGAGGGUCGGAGGGGAGACUGGAAUUCUCGGUGUAGCAGUGAAAUGCGUAGAUAUCGUAAGGAAGACCAGUGGCGAAGGCGGGUCUCUGGACAGUUCCUGACACUGAGGCACGAAGGCCAGGGGAGCAAACGGG
rnacentral:rRNA from 1 species